CCUCUUUAACUGUAGAGAAGCGACACAAGGGUAGAAGUAACCCACUAAGUAUCCUAUGGGUUACUUCUACCUUUGUGUCGCUUCUCUACAGUUAAAGAGG